rnacentral:rRNA from 1 species
UACAGAGGUGGCAAACGUUGUCCGGAUUUAUUGGGUGUAAAGGGCAUGUAGGUGGUUUUGUAAGUCAAAGGUGAAAUGGCCCGGCUCAACCAGGUCAUUGCCUUUGAAACUGCAGGACUUGAGUACGGAAGAGGAAAGCGGAAUUCCCAGUGUAGCGGUGAAGUGCGUAGAUAUUGGGAGGAACACCGGUGGCGAAGGCGAGUCCCUGGACAACUCCUGACACUGAGGCACGAAAGCUAGGGGAGCAAACAGG